AGAGCUAUUCUAUCUCUCUAAUUAGAGACUAUAUAGAACCUAGAUUUUUUGCAAUAAUCAUAAUACAUAAAUCCAGUGUUCAAAUUGGAGAGAGAAAAAAAGAGAGAGAAUAUUAUUUUUCUUGCUUUUAUUCAAUUGUUAGUUUAAAAGUUAGUUUCUUGAUAUAAUUAUUGGUGUAGUUUUAAUUUUGGAGAACACCAUAGAAGACUUGGAGAUUUGAUAUAUCAAGUUUUUGCAAUUAAAAGCUAUAAGUCUAUGAUCCAAAAAGGUGGAAGUUUGUGAUCUGAAUUAAUUAAAUAAUUAAUCACCAAUUUAGGUAAAAAUUCGAAUUCUUUAUCCUUGAUUUAACAUAUACGUGAAUAUCUAAACUGUAACGUCCCAAAUUUCUAAAAACGCUGGGAUGUUAAGAAAAACGCGGUUUUCUUUUAUAAUAAUUGCGGGACGAUUUAAAUAAAAGGAAAUUCUUUAUUUUCAACCAUAAAUAUCAAUUUAAAAUAACCAAAAGAGUUUUUGAGCAAAUAAAACUAACAAAUAAUUUAGAAUUACAAAAAAAAAAAGAAGCAAACUAAAUAUUUAAUUUCUUUUUCCUUUCUUCGAUUCACUUGGCCGUCAGCGUCACCAAUUCGCCACAACUUCAAUCGACUCGAACUAACCUGUAAAAAUUUGUAAGAGUGAGUAUUCAAAAACACCCAAUAAAAUACGUGCAGUUUCCAUAAACAAAUACAUAACAAUAAAAAUUAUGCAUUUCAUAUCACUCUGAUCUUAUAGAGUAAUUCCUUGACCAAGUGACACCCAUCUUAGGUCUUCUUAUAAUCGUGUAGGAUUCCAUAUUUCUUUUAAAAAAUGAAUGUCUACUUGUAAUCCAUUCAUAUUUUAUUGAAUAUAAAAGUAUAAGGAAACAAAAGUGCUUGCACAUAAAGUAUCUUACCUUAAAAAAAAAAAAAAAAAAAAAAAAGGAUUUUUGAAUGAAUUCCAAUAUAUGUUCUACUUCUUUGACUGUGUCAAAAAUUUGGUGACUGACUUCAAAAUUAUUCUCUCUCUCUCUCUCUCUGUUGUCUGCUGUGUAAAAAUUUCUUGGUGGAGAAUCAGGGUACAAAUGCACAUUAUUUAUAGUAAAAAAAAUGGUAGUUGAGUCAUGACACAAUGUUGAUGGUGGGGAAAACAUGUACCACUUGGAUAAACUUUAAAUUUUGAUAACCCAAACCAUGAUAUGACACGUGUACGAUAGUACUUGUAUAUUUCACAUAUAAGAUUACAUUUAAACCUUUAUCCUUUAUCAAACUAUAGGAUAAAAAUGACUUCAUAAAAUUUUAUCUCAUCUCUGUAAAAUCUCUAGACUCUAGUUGGUGAAAAUAAUUUUUAAAACCAAUAAAUCUUUAAAUGCAUGGCCAAGCAAGAGAUGGGGAAUUUAUCUAAUUCAUACGAUAAGUUCUAGAUUAGUUUAAAUGGGAUUUUGCUUAAUUAGAAGUAUCCCAAUCACCUUAUCCACUCAUGCAAUGCGGGUAAUAUAAACGUGAGGACUAAUAUUUUAAUUUAAUUUAGUAAAAAUAUCCGGAGUUGAAUUAUAUCAAAAUAGGAUUAUAAUUAUCAAUUUACAUUAAUCAUCAUCAAAAUGUGAUUAAAUAACAAUUAACUACUAUUGCAUAUCCACCACCUCAUCUCUAUAGAAGAGCACACGUGGCUACCCCUUUUAAAAGUUGGUAAAUUCUAAUUCCAAUUAAAUAACAUCUUCUACAAACUUCAAUAUCUUGAACCAAACUUAUUAGAAUUAACUUUUUCUCGAGCCUAAAAUACAUAAUUAAAUACGAGCUCUCCAACGAGUAUAAUAUUAAUAUACUUAUCAUCACUCUAUCAAAAUCCAAUUAUUUGCCUUAAAAAUAUAAUAAUUUAAAAUAUACUUCAUCUGAGUCUCUCAUUUUCAAAAUAAUCAAAUAUAAUAUAUAGAAUAGAUAAUAAUUUUUUUCCCUAAAAAUAUUUUAGGGAUGUUACAUAAACGAUCUUGUUUAUUGAAUUAAUUUUUUUUUUAUUUAAU
rnacentral:lncRNA from 1 species